GACAGAGGGUGCGAACGUUGUUCGGAAUUACUGGGCGUAAAGCGCAUGUAGGCGGCAGCGCAAGUCGGGCGUGAAAUCCCACGGCUCAACCGUGGAAGUGCACUCGAAACUGCGCAGCUAGAGUCCUGGAGAGGAAGGUGGAAUGCUUGGUGUAGAGGUGAAAUUCGUAGAUAUCAAGCGGAACACCGGUGGCGAAGGCGGCCUUCUGGACAGUGACUGACGCUGAGGAGCGAAAGCAUGGGGAGCGAACAGG
rnacentral:rRNA from 1 species